rnacentral:rRNA from 1 species
AACGCGUGGGAACCUACCUUAUUCUACGGAAUAACAGUUAGAAAUGACUGCUAAUACCAUAUACGCCCUUCGGGGGAAAGAUUUAUCGGAGUAGGAUGGGCCCGCGUUGGAUUAGCUAGUUGGUGGGGUAAUGGCCUACCAAGGCGACGAUCUAUAGCUGGUCUGAGAGGAUGAUCAGCCACACUGGAACUGAGACACGGUCCAGACUCCUACGGGAGGCAGCAGUGGGGAAUAUUGGACAAUGGGCGCAAGCCUGAUCCAGCCAUGCCGCGUGAGUGAUGAAGGCCUUAGGGUUGUAAAGCUCUUUCAACGGUGAAGAUAAUGACGGUAACCGUAGAAGAAGCCCCGGCUAACUUCGUGCCAGCAGCCGCGGUAAUACGAAGGGGGCUAGCGUUGUUCGGAAUUACUGGGCGUAAAGCGUACGUAGGCGGAUUAGAAAGUUAGGGGUGAAAUCCCAGGGCUCAACCCUGGAACUGCCUCUAAAACUCCUAAUCUUGAGUUCGAGAGAGGUGAGUGGAAUUCCGAGUGUAGAGGUGAAAUUCGUAGAUAUUCGGAGGAACACCAGUG